rnacentral:rRNA from 1 species
UAUGUAAUGUACUCUCUCUUCGGAGCAUCGGUGACAGGUGGUGCAUGGUUGUCGUCAGCUCGUGUCGUGAGAUGUUGGGUUAAGUCCCGCAACGAGCGCAACCCCUGUUCUUAGUAGCCAGCAUUUUGGAUGGGCACUCUAGGGAGACUGCCAGGGAUAACCUGGAGGAAGGCGGGGAUGACGUCAAAUCAUCAUGCCCCUUAUGACUUGGGCUACACACGUGCUACAAUGGCGUAAACAAAGGGAAGCGGAGCCGCGAGGCCGAGCAAAUCUCAAAAAUAACGUCUCAGUUCGGACUGUAGUCUGCAACCCGACUACACGAAGCUGGAAUCGCUAGUAAUCGCAGAUCAGAAUGCUGCGGUGAAUACGUUCCCGGGUCUUGUACACACCGA